rnacentral:rRNA from 1 species
GGGCCCGCACAAGCGGUGGAGCAUGUGGUUCAAUUCGACGCAACGCGAAGAACCUUACCCAGGCUUGAAGAGCGAGUGACCACUCCCGAAAGGGAGCUUCCGCAAGGACACUCGUAGAGGUGCUGCAUGGCUGUCGUCAGCUCGUGUCGUGAGAUGUUGGGUUAAGUCCCGCAACGAGCGCAACCCUUGUUUGCUGUUGCCAUCAGGUUAUGCUGGGCACUCUGCAAAGACUGCCGGUGAUAAACCGGAGGAAGGUGGGGAUGACGUCAAGUCAGCAUGGCCUUUAUGUCUGGGGCUACACACGUGCUACAAUGGCCGAUACAAACCGUCGCGAGCCCGCAAGGGGGAGCUAAUCGGAGAAAGUCGGUCUCAGUUCGGAUCGCAGGCUGCAACCCGCCUGCGUGAAGUUGGAAUCGCUAGUAAUCGCGGAUCAGCACGCCGCGGUGAAUACGUUCCCGGGCCUU